UCCUCCCUCUUGUUGUAAGAUCCCAAAGUUUCAGUAAUUCCUUCUUGUUUUUGUUAAAUCAAUAGGCAAAUCCACCCCUUUUGAAUUUUGUUUAUUCUAAAAGGGAUCAAAUUUGCCAAAAGGAAUGCAGGAAUUUAGUAGAAAUUCUGAUUUUCUCUGUGGAUCAGAGUUGUGGAAUUGUUCCUGACACCUAAGAUAUUUUUAGAAUAUUAGUUUAUUAGAUGUAGGUUUUCUUUGAUAUCUUGCUUAUGAAUGAUCUUUUUUUUUAGAUGCCUCACAUUUUAAGUGUUUUAAAUACAGGGGCACAGUUAUGUACAGUACAAUUUUCUCCUUCUGCAGGUUACUGUGUUUUAUCCGAUUCAACUAGGAUAAUGAAGGAGUAAAAUUUACUCCAGUUUUCUCACAUGGUGCAUGUACUGGUAUUUUCUAAAAAGAAAGUCUAAAUGGCCCCCUACUAUAAAUGGUUGUUCUUUACCUGACAUGGACUUGUUUUACCUUUUAUAAUCAAACUCAUGUGUGACGUUAAAUAAAUUCCAUCAAACAAAUUCAAUGUGCAAAUUCUAUCUUCCUAUAGUAUCUGCUCACAUUGGCAGUUUUUCCAGCACUAGGGAGAUUUGAAAAUUGCCUCAUAUUUAAGGGUCUGAUCUUUUCAAAUUCUUGAUAGCAGAAGGCAAAUCCACCCCUACUUUUGAAUUUCUUCUGAAGUUGGGAUCACAUUUGCCUACAAUAAAUAUUGAACUAAGUAGAAAUUCUGGAGUUUCUAUAAGCCAGAGUUGUGGAAUUGUUCCUAACACUGUUCAUUAGAAAUAGUCAUUAUUUAAACAAACAUGCAUCAACAAUUCUAGCCAAAAUUUCUGUCAUUGGUAUUUUUCUUCCUCAGAUAUGUAAGAUUAGAAAUAUAGACAUGUUUUGUGUUUUUAUCCAUUUUCUUUACUGGAUUUAAAUAUGUGGUACAUUUUAAACUUUGCUGUUUAUUGAUUCAAGGGGCCAUUGUUUAGAUCAUUGAAUGAGGUCAAAAGUCAAUCUCGCUUUAGUGUAACGUGUCAGAGGCAAGGUCGUAUCUUUCUCCACUUUCCCAAUUUGAAUCAUAUGGCAAAUAUGUUGGCAAAUCCACCCCAUCUGUAGUGAUAUGGCUAGAGAUGGGAUCAAAUUUGCAAAAAUGAAAGAUUGGGAACCAAGUAGAAAUUCUGGGAUAUAAAUAUUCCAGAGUUGUGGAAGGGUUCUCUACAUCACGA